rnacentral:rRNA from 1 species
UGGUGCAUGGUUGUCGUCAGCUCGUGUCGUGAGAUGUUGGGUUAAGUCCCGCAACGAGCGCAACCCUCGACCUUAGUUGCCAGCAUUCAGUUGGGCACUCUAAGGUGACUGCCGGCUAAAAGUCGGAGGAAGGUGGGGAUGACGUCAAAUCAUCAUGCCCCUUAUGACCUGGGCUACACACGUGCUACAAUGGGCGGUACAAAGGGUCGCGAACCCGCGAGGGGGAGCCAAUCCCAAAAAGCCGCUCUCAGUUCGGAUUGCAGGCUGCAACUCGCCUGCAUGGAGCCGGAAUCGCUAGUAAUCGCGGAUCAGCAUGCCGCGGUGAAUACGUUCCCGGGCCUU